rnacentral:rRNA from 1 species
UCGGGAAUUUUGGGCAAUGGGGGAAACCCUGACCCAGCAACGCCGCGUGAAGGAUGAAGUAUUUCGGUAUGUAAACUUCGAAAGAAUAGGAAGAAUAAAUGACGGUACUAUUUAUAAGGUCCGGCUAACUACGUGCCAGCAGCCGCGGUAAUACGUAGGGACCAAGCGUUGUUCGGAUUUACUGGGCGUAAAGGGCGCGUAGGCGGCAUGACAAGUCACUUGUGAAAUCUCUGGGCUUAACCCAGAACGGCCAAGUGAUACUGUCGCGCUAGAGUGCAGAAGGGGCAAUCGGAAUUCUUGGUGUAGCGGUGAAAUGCGUAGAUAUCAAGAGGAACACCUGAGGUGAAGACGGGUUGCUGGGCUGACACUGACGCUGAGGCGCGAAAGCCAGGGGAGCAAACGGGAUUAGAUACCCAUGUAGUCCCUGAGCGGGCUGGCAAGGCG